ensembl:lncRNA
AUUUAAGGUCUGACUGUCCCUGAGGAAGGGUCUCUUUCUGAAGAUUGCUCCCUUUGGAGUUUUUCUGUGAGCCUAAGACAUAGCAGCCAAGUUACACUACAAGAUACCUGGACACCUGGACACAAACACUUUCCUAAAGCUGAUCUGCUACAGAGAAAAUUACUGUUACUAUAUGAAUCUGAAGCAGCUGCAAUGGGAAGAAAAAUGUUGAAAACGCAGCAUGCAAAACUCAUCAAGUAUGGUCGGGUUCAUCCAUAUGAAAGGCCAUUAGCAAACAUGUGGCAACUUUCCUUCAUCUAAGAGGAAGCCUUGGGAGGUCCAAGACAUGGCAGGGCAGGACAGAAGAUCAGUCAUCAUGGUCAAAAUGUUCUGCUGCUUUGUAAAAAAGAUAGAAUUUGCCCCAGGUGCACAACUGCAUUUCCUAAGCUUUUAUGACGCCACUGAGUGUAUUUCCCUAAUCAUAUUUAAAAAUCAUGCCCGUGUGUUCUCUGUUCAGGAGGUUAGAGCUGAAUUUUCUUUCAAUGAACAAGAAUUUCAGUGGAUGUUUCUCAAAACCAUUUCAAAAGAUGUCAACCUAUAUGUAUAACUAAACCAGAAAGUUAAAAAAAAUAUAUGAAAAUUUCACUCUAGCUUUUGCAUCUAUGCCUGAUUUCGAUUUCUUCUUUAUGUGUAAUUUUGUACGCAAAUUUUCUGCUGGUGGUAUUUUACAGGAUCAUUAGAAAAGACUGAAGAACAGAACUAACGAUAUUGGAAUUGUUUCUUCUUUUCCCUCCUCACUCUCCAUUUUCUGUCUAAUUUCUACUUCUGUUACUUCUAGUAAAUCUGUGUCACUUUAACUUUGAUCAAAACUUAUACUGAUAUACCACUGAUAACAAAGAUCAUAUGAGUUAAAAGAUAUAUAUUAGUUACAAAAAUAUAGAACGUGCCUCACUCCUUAGGAAAUCAGUUAAAUUCUAUUAAACUUAGUGUUCGUUAGAAGUAACACAGAGAUAAUAAUGUGUGUGAUGGUUAUAAUUCGUUCUUUACACUUUCAUUAGAAGAUCUUCAAGAAAGGGCCAAAAUUUGGACUUAAUAGAACUCUUGUUUGGUGAUAGUCUUGUGCUGAAUUCCUUUACCAGCAAGCUCUUCAAAUAUCACAUUAAAUACCAUACUUGUGAAUAGAGCCAGUAAUAUUAGUAGCUAGCAGGGCCCAAAGUCAUAAAAUAAUUUGACAGUCAAGAGAUAUCAAUUAAAGUUACAUAGGGUUCCCCCCCGUGUGCUGGGUUCAUCUUGAUGUGUCGUUUGUUAAUAUUCAUGAAAAAACUUCUUCACUGUGCUAAGCUGAAUAUUUUGUGCUGUACUCUCUUAAACACAGAUGUGGAUAUGACAGGCACAAAAGAACUGCCACUCUACAUGCUAAAGAAAAAAAGUGUUUUUUUUUGCUUAUGACUAAAAGCCUUUAUCUCUUUUUCAAUAGAAAUUGCAUAUUAAGCUU